rnacentral:rRNA from 1 species
CGAGUCUGAGACCGGAUCCCGAGCCGAUCUAGGCGAAGUGGAUAAUCCUAUGCUGCCGAGAAAAGCCUCUAGCGAGUGUCAUGGCGGCCCGUACCCCAAACCGACUCAGGUGGUCAGGUAGAGAAUACCAAGGAGAUCGAGAGAAUCGUGGUUAAGGAACUCGGCAAAAUGCCCCCGUAACUUCGGGAGAAGGGGGGCCGGACACGUGAUGGCACUUGCUGCCGGAGCGUUGAAGGCCGCAGAGACCAGUGGGAAGCGACUGUUUACUAAAAACACAGGUCCGUGCGAAGUCGCAAGACGAUGUAUACGGACUGACGCCUGCCCGGUGCUGGAAGGUUAAGAGGAAGGGUCAGCCUCACGGCGAAGCUCAGAAUUUAAGCCCCAGUAAACGGCGGUGGUAACUAUAACCAUCCUAAGGUAGCGAAAUUCCUUGUCGGGUAAGUUCCGACCUGCACGAAUGGCGUAACGACUUCCCAGCUGUCUCAACCGCGAACUCGGCGAAAUUGCACUACGAGUAAAGAUGCUCGUUACGCGCAGCAGGACGGAAAGACCCCGGGACCUUUACUAUAGUUUGGUAUUGGUGUUCGGUGCGGCUUGUGUAGGAUAGGUGGGAGACGUUGAAGCCGGCACGCCAGUGUCGGUGGAGUCGUUGGUGAAAUACCACUCUGGUCGUUUUGAGCGUCUAACCCGCACCCGUGGAUCCGGGUGGGGGACAGUGCCUGGUGGGUAGUUUAACUGGGGCGGUUGCCUCCUAAAGAGUAACGGAGGCGCCCAAAGGUUCCCUCAGCCUGGUUGGCAAUCAGGUGUUGAGUGUAAGUGCACAAGGGAGCUUGACUGUGAGAGAGACAUCUCGAGCAGGGACGAAAGUCGGGACUAGUGAUCCGGCAGUGGCUUGUGGAAGCGCUGUCGCUCAACGGAUAAAAGGUACCUCGGGGAUAACAGGCUGAUCUUGCCCAAGAGUCCAUAUCGACGGCAUGGUUUGGCACCUCGAUGUCGGCUCGUCGCAUCCUGGGGCUGGAGUAGGUCCCAAGGGUUGGGCUGUUCGCCCAUUAAAGCGGUACGCGAGCUGGGUUUAGAACGUCGUGAGACAGUUCGGUCCCUAUCCGCUGCGCGCGUUGGAAACUUGAGAAGGGCUGUCCCUAGUACGAGAGGACCGGGACGGACGAACCUCUGGUGUGCCAGUUGUCCCGCCAGGGGCAUGGCUGGUUGGCUACGUUCGGGAGGGAUAACCGCUGAAGGCAUCUAAGCGGGAAGCCUGCUUCGAGAUGAGUUCUCCUGGCAUCCUUUGGGUGUGUGAGGCUCCUUAGAGAUGAUGAGGUUGAUAGGCCGGGUAUGGAAGCGUUGU